rnacentral:lncRNA from 1 species
GGGUGCGGAGGGUACGCGGUUAGCGACCUGCGCGUGGAAUAGGAUUGCGCGUGCGCGUCAUCGGCGGCUCGCCAUUUGACACCCGACACAUCUCCUUCCCCUUCCUCGUAGGGCUCGCUACACCUUCGUUUGUUCUAGCCAGGGCCGCGCCGACUUUCGCAGCAACCUCCGGCGGCUCUCCCCCGAUGGAUCCGGAGGUGGUCGGCGUCGGCGGCGACGGCAGGGGUGGAUCGAGGCGGCGUCUUUCCUGCCUCCUCGCCCGAAGAUGACAGGUAACCCGGGAUUUCGAUCCAUCCUUUGGGGAUUUUUGUUGGGGGAAUGGAACCGCUGAGUUGAGUCGAUUCAGUAAAGAUAGCCAUUCUGCAGCACCGGUGAUGUUCGUGCUUCGGAUUUCAGUGCAAAAGCUUCUAUGCCUGGGCUAAUAAUAUGCAUCACCCUUAGGUUUGUUUGUAGGUAGGCAUUGCCAUUGCUGCACAAAGAGACACUCCAACCUGAAAUGUACUGCACUUCACAAUUCAUUGGCAUGAGCAGGAAGUCGUCACUAGAAAUUAGCAACCGAGGUGAGCGCGUACGAUUCGGCGUCACGAUAUGCAAAUUAAUUAGCCAUCUGCUUUUGCUGUUUGAAGAUGAGUAGAUAGAUUGUCUUCCUUUCUUGCCAUGUUUGACCAAAGGUAUGUGUGUAUGUGUGUGUCGAACAAAACGCGCCCCCUAAGACACUAAGUGAAUCAGCGGCACAAAGACACAUCGAGCAGGAUAUGCCAUAGGUGUGUUUCUGUCAAACGAAUCGAUCCUUCAAACGAGGUCAGCUUCGGGGAUUUUACCACUGCGUUGAAUCGAUUCAGUGCAUAUGCCAAAUAUAUAGGCCAUGUGUGUUUAUGAUUAUGAUUUCUGUACAAAGGCUUGAUUAUGUGGUUGGAUGAAUAAUCAUAAUCUUAGCCUACCACCCUUUUAUUUCUCUACGCAAAGGCAAACGCCAACCUGAAAUGUACUCUACCUCACAGUUCGUCAUCAACAACUGAGGUGUAUGCUUAUGAUUCAACAUUACAAUAUAAACACUAAUUAGUCAUCUUUUACUGACAUGAGUAGAUUGUCUUCCGUUCAUGCCAUCUUUAACCAAAGUCCAAAGGUUUGUGUGUGUUUCUGUCAGAACUUUAGUGUUAAAAAAACAGAGUGAGCUCCCUCAGCAAAGCAGCAGCACAGAAAAACACAUCAUGCAGGAUGAUACUAUCUGCCCUGUAGAGAAGACAUUGUCACAUCAUUAGCACUAGGUGGCUCUUCCUCCGUAACCGAAAUACGCUGGAUGCUUAGGUUCAGGCAGGGCCAUAGUUUCGCUGCUUAGCAUCGCAACCACACUUGUUGUGCUGGGUCUGUCAACCGCAUUCUCUUGCACACAGAGCAGUGCGAUGUUGAUACACCUCAUUGUCUCUAACAUGUCAGACUCUGAAACUAUUGAUUCAUCGACGAACUCCAGCCAUCUUUCCUCUUUCCACAACUUCCAUGCCUAGCAAGAGCAUAGAGACAUAUUAAAUAAGGUUUUUAGAUAAUCAAAUAAUUUUGAAAAUUGGAUACAAAAAAUACUUACAUAUCCAAGAAGGUUGAAGAAGUCCCCAUUUUGAUGGAAACACGAGUUUCUUUUUCCAUUGAUGAUCUCGAGAAUCAGCACACCAAAGCUGAAUACAUCAGAUUUGAUUGAGAAGAGACCCUCUGAAGCAUACUCGGGAGCCAUAUACCCACUGAAAAGGCAGGGAAAACAAAACUUCUAUCUCAGUUUUUUAUUUGGCUGACUUAUGCAGGAUGGACUAAUUUGUAAGAAGAGCUUACUAUGUCCCAGCAAUCCUUUUUGUGUUCCCUUCAGUAUCAUUUGAACUGAAUAUUUUUGCAAGCCCAAAAUCUGAUAUUUUGGGAUUCAUUUCAAUGUCCAAAAGGAUGUUGCUUGCUUUAAGAUCUCUAUGUAUGACACGUAAUCGAGAGUGUUUAUGCAAAUAUAGAAGUCCUUGUGCGAUCCCUUCGAUAAUCGCUUUUCUUUUGUUCCAUUCCAAUAAAGCCUUUUUAGUUUCAUCUGCACACAAGUUAAUGAUAUAUGUAUAUUAGAUGGGGAGGAAGGUUGUGGGGAUAAUUUUAGUAGAUAGAGUUAACCCAUAAUCUGUAACAGGAAACUACAAGGAGUAAUACCAAAGAUAAAGAAAUCCAAGCUUUUAUUUGCCAAAUAUUCAUAGAUUAAUAUUUUCUCUUCUCCUUGAGAGCAACAUCCCAAUAGCCUAACCAAAUUUGUGUGCUGGAGCUUGGCUAUGAGUUGGACUUCAUUUUUAAACUCUGUGAAACCCUGCCCAGACUGCGAAGCUAGUCUCUUAAUUGCUAUUUCCAAACCUUCAGGAAGCUGGCCCUGUGGAGGUUUAAAAGAGCUUGAUCAGUGAUAUCAUCUUGCGAAAUAGAAGCGGUUUACUCAUCUUCUGAUCGGUAACCCCCCAUGCUUGUGAGUAAAAUUAAAGCUACAUGUAUAAAAUCCACUAGGUCGUACAAAUUAGUGAUCGAUGCAAACUAGGUUCAAUUUUUGUUCUCUUUGUGUACAUGGAUAAAUGUGUUCUUUUACCUUGUAUACUGGGCCAAAGCCACCUUGCCCCAAUUUAUUUUCAUCUGAGAAGUUACUCGUAGCAUCUGAUAGUUGUGAAAAGUUAAAAAGCUUGAGCUCCGAACUCCUCCCUAUCCCCCAGACUAGCUCUUCAUCUUCCUGAGAGCUCACUUUACCAAAUUCCAAAAAUCAGAGUUUAUGUAAUCCUUUCAGGUAAGCGAAUAUAUAUGAAUCUAAACAGCCUAAGAGAUUUGUGAGUACAGCAACAUUUCCAUAACUAACCUUUAAUGUUCCUUUUGAAUAGUUUAAACCAUACGAAGAAGCACAAAAAUGAUGCUAGUAGAAGCAUAGCAGUGGUAAUGAUCCAUACCUUUAUUAUAUGCCCUAAAACGAAAGAUUUCAGACAAACAUAGGUGGUUAGUUGAUUAGACAAAUCAACCAAUGUAACUACACUAUAAACUUUGGUAUUUAUGUUUUGAGGAAUAUUCUAACAUAUUAUAACCUCUUGUUGCAGAAGUUCACUUUUCAACCUUAAGAUCUGAAACCAGUUGUUUUUAACCUUGAAAGAUUGAAUCUGUUCACUAUAGCCCUUUGGCCCUAUCCCAAGCGGUUUUGAGCUGAUUUGGAUGACAUGUGGUAGACACGUAGCAUCACUUCUGCACGGCAGCCCCUUGCCAUGUUUGCAGCUCAAGUGAAGAUUAAAAAAAUACGAAACAUUUAUAAAAAAAUGCAAAAAACCAGGGAAAUCAGAAAAUAGUAUUGUGAGAAUUAGUUUCUCUGUUUUUUUGUACUCAAGCUACCGAGAUUGGAUUUUGCUGACGUAUAGAGGUACAGCAUGUGUCUUCUGAGUCAGCUAAAACAACUUGGAACAGGGCCAAUGGGGUAAAUUGAACGGAUUCAACAGUUCAAGGUGGAGCACAACCGGUUUUGGAUGUUAAGGGAAAUACAAACUUUUGUAAUAGUUUAGUGUUGAAAAAUGGACAUUUUCUGCAUGUUAUAAAGAAUAUUUCAACAUAUAAUAUAGUCUAAGGCUGCAUCGCAAGCAUGGUUGUUGAAUUAAAGCGUUGAUCAAAGGGUAGCUGUCACCCCACCCAGGUAAAUUAAUUAUGUCUUCCAGAACCAUCAAAAUUGAUUUGCGGUCAUUAGAUCUAUAUGGGUGAAUUAAUUAUGUCUUUCAGAAUCAUCGAAAUUGGUUUGCGGUCAUUAGAUCUAUAUGGGUGUUAUGUCUUUCAGAAUCAUCGAAAUUGAUUUGCGGUCAUUAGAUCUAGAGACUUAGAUCUAUAUUGAAAGGUGCUCUGUACCCAUAACCCCGCUCACUGUUCCAGCACAAAUCUACUCGUCAACUGGGUUCCCAUCAGACUCAAGCAUCGAGUUAAAUGAAGUUUUGGAGUAGUCAAUUUCAUCAAGCCUAAUGAUGCUUGAGUCUGAUGGGCACCAAGUUUGUAUUCAUAAGGAUGCUGCAGUAUAGUCAAUUUCUGUGUAAUAAAGAUGUGAUAGGAAUAAUAUGAAUACAAACAGGUAUAAGAUAUGGGAAAAAUGCUCUUUAGAAGAAGGAAAAAUGGAAGACAGACUAGUUUUGGGGAAAGAAAUAACAUAUUGUCUUACUCUUAUCUUUCUGCCUUGGAACACCAACCGGCCCUGGCGCCGGCAUGUUUGUUGUUGGAUCUACAACAUCUGACCAGCCGGUCUUCUUCGUGGGCUGGUCAUUGUAGAACUGAUACGUGCUGUACCUGAAAUUACACCAAACACCAGCAAUCCAUUCACCAUGUUGCUCGUGGAAGGAACCCCUUGCUGCGCUCCUGAUAUUGUCGAGGCAAUCCCAGCAGUCAUUUGGUCGUAGGUCCAGGUUGCACUGCGCCAUAGAGUACAGCAGCGGCAGUCCCUCGGAUAAAUCCAGGCGGCCGGUGGCGUACAUCAUUGUAGAGUUGUAGGCUGCCUGUUUGGCUGUCUCUUGGAGCAGCACCUUGAUGUUGCCAUCAAUGCUGGCGUCGGUGAAGUUGGUGAUCUCAAUGAAUUGAAUGCUGGGAUCCGUGGUGUCCCUAAAGAUCAGCAACCUGUGUAGCACAAAACUGGAGUUGUAGACAAGGUCCUCAGUGGAGACGUGGACGAUGCAGUCCCCAUACAAGAAAUGCAUGUCCAUUUGCGAUCCGCAGAGCCGCCAAGCAUCAUGGAACGCGGUGGUGAUGCAGCUGGAGCAUGCAGAUGCGAUGGUGUCGCCGGGGCACUGUGCGACGCCAUAAAUGGGGUCUUGGUCAGUUCGGACGAAGCCCUUGGGCUGGUUGGUUCCUGUGGAUGAGGCAUUCCUGGAUAGCACAGUAGAUAGGAGCUCAAGGUUAGCUUGGUAGGUGCUAUUAUAGGGGAUGCUGGUGUUGCAGAUCUGCUCCAGUGGAUCGCCGGCGGCAGCAAAUGGCUCGAAGCCGAGAAUGAGCAGUAAGACGAUGAACAUGGCUAUCCAAAAGGUUAUUCAGCCCAACCUCUGUAGCGUCUCCUUAUUAUCGGCAUCAUUUGGGAAACUUUCCCAGCUUAUGGUUUAACUGCUUACUUGAUUAUUAAUGAUUAAUGAUAACAUCUGCCUGCAGGCCGUGCAAUGAAGUUGCUUAGAAUACAAUGCUGCUGCCGUCCAGGCAUCAUCAGCCUGUGUAAUCCAAAUUAGUUGGUAGUACAAGUGAUACACGACAAGUGGAGAACAAAAAUUAGAAAAAGAACAAAUCCAGUUUCAGUGUUUCAGUCAAAGGAGAAGAGGUCUUAUUGCGACCUUGAACGAACAGCAAAAUCGAAGGUGAUUCUCUUGCGACUGCUUGGUAAGCUGUGGGCUAUCUGUUAGAAGCUGGAUCCAGAAAGAUUGUUUCCUAUACCGAAACGUUUUGAAAAUUAUGUAAGCUCCUUUCAUGCUGGCAUUUGUCAUGACAUUGAAGAUCUCAAGUAUGUAAACUUGAUUGGAAUUUUUUAUAUUAUGUAAUGUUGUUUGUAAACCAAGUUCGAUAUCUCGGCAGUUUGUUAACUAAGUUUUGACCGGCAUCGUUUGUUGUUUGUUUCUACUGAACUCUGUGGAUAGCCCUAAAACAAUAAUG